GAUGAACGCUGGCGGCGUGCCUAAUACAUGCAAGUCGAGCGAACGGACGAGAAGCUUGCUUCUCUGAUGUUAGCGGAGGACGGGUGUGUCACACGUGGAUAAUCUACCUAUCAGACUGGGAUAACUUCGGGAAACCGGAGCUAAUCCCGGAUAAUCUUUUGCACCGCAUGGUUCAAAAGUAAAAGUCGGUCUUGCUGUCACUUCUCGCUGGAUCCGCGCUGCAUUAGCUAGUUGGGAAGGUAACGGCUUACCAAGGCAAGGAUGCAUAGCCGACGUGCGAGGCGGAUCGGCCACACGGGAACGGAGACACGGUCCAGACGCCUACGGUAGGCAGCAGUAGGGAAUCGGCCGCAAUGGGCGAAAGCCUUACGGAGCAACGCCGCGUGAGUGAUGAAAGUCUUCGGAUCGUAAAACUCUGUUAUUAGGGAAAAACAUAUGUGUAAGUAACUGUGCACAGCGUGACGGUACCUAAUCAGGAAGCCACGGCUAACUACGUG
rnacentral:rRNA from 1 species